UGAGAAAAUACUGGCAAGACCAACCACCCACACCUCCCUCCCCACACACACACACACACACACACACACACACACACAUUCAACAAACUGAAAACUGAAAAUCAUACGUGAACUGACACUGAGAAAAUACAGUGAUAACAAGUACGAACCCCAUAGAAACUACACACUAAACAUCUUUGUAAGUGAUGGGAAAUAAAAAGCAAAUCUGAUGCAAAUAGCUGCUCUUUUACAUACUUCAGUGUGAAGUUUAUCAGAAUAGUUUUUUCCCCUCACAGGCGAUCUCGAUUGCCUACAUUAACAAUCACCUAUAAAUUCUUCAAAAUGUGCAAUAUGUGGCAUGUAGUAUAGAGUAGAUGUAGUGCUAAAAACAAUUAAUCGCACAGAAAAUUAAUCACCAACAAUUUUGCUACUUGAUUUAUCGUUUAAUUUAUAUAUCAAGCACAUUGUGUAACAUUUGCAGUUUUCAGCCCCUUAAGUUUGUUAUAUCUAAACACAAAGAGAUGUACAAGAACGUCACCUAAAUAAAAUUAGCUACAUUUGACAAACUGUCUGAUCACAGAAUAAGUUGCUAAAAAGUAUGAAACUGACCAGACAUUUGAUUCGCCAACUUUGAUACUUAAAGAUACACAUUUGAGUACCAAAAAAAGUGCUGAUGUUUGAUACCUAAUUAAUGACCAGGUUUAGGAGCUUUUAAACAUGUCAGGACCUAAAAUGUCGGGAGUUAAGAAGCCCCACAGUGUUUUCAGCCCACUGACUGCCUGUCCCAUACAGUUUAAUCCUGUUCAACUUCGCUGCCUCGCUUUGUCAGAGUCACCGAUGCUUCAAAAAGCGUCAGGGACCCAUUACAGCUUUAUGUAAUGUUGCGGAGACAGGGACGUGCACACACAUAUACACACAGAUCCCUCCCACCCCCACUUUCUGUGAACAAGGGGGUUUUCUACAGCUGGGUAACAAAGCAUGACCCAAUAAUCCCAAAGCUUGACUCAAAGCUUAAGAAACCCCCCUUCCCUCCCUCCUCUUAUAUCCCUUCCGCCUGCUCUCUGAGGACUUUAUAAGGCUCUGGCAAGGAAGGCUUCUGGACGCACAUGUGUGUGUAUGUGGCAUGUAUGAGUUUUUUUUUGUUUUGUUUUUUUUUACAAAUACAAGCACGCUUAGCUCUGAUUAUUCUAAUUAUGAUUAUUAUGAACACAUGGGCUGAUGAGUUGUUCAAUCUGUCAGUAGUACGGUUAAAAGAGGCUGACAGACAAAGGCCUUUACUUAUAAUGUACGGGGGUGGAGGGCAUCUAAGAGACAUACCCCUCAGUUUAAUUGUUGGCACAUACACAGAUGUCUUCAAUGGUAAACAUUAUCAAUUUGUACUGAAAUGACUCUCUUCUCCAAAACAAUUUUAUUAUUACUCAGCUUGCUGAAGGUGCUGUUACACAUGCAAACUUUUAGGGCAAUGAAGAUCAGCAGCCAGAGACAAACAGAGUGAGAAACCAUGUCCAGCGUAUAUUCUAAUUGUCCCCUGUAAAUAAGAAAUGAUAUAAAAUGAAAAGAAAAAAUGAUAUCCCUCAUGUGGCUCCCUGUCUCAUUAUGGAAAUUAGAUUUUGUGUCGUUUAAUCUUUUCUUUUUCAUUGUGACAACAGUUGUCCUCCUCUUCUCACACACUCAUAGUCUGGUCUUAAACUUUCCGUGACCCAGACACUGAAUUUCUGCACAGCAGAAAAGCAGCAUCACACAUUUCCCACCUCCAUAGCACCAGAUCCCUUAUUACAUGACAAAACAUGAGCAAUUCCAGAUCUGGCUUUAGGCACACUGAUUCUGAGAAACCGUGACAAAAACAAGUCUAUAGAUGAGCAUGAGUUUAUAGGAACAGGACCUCCUGCUGGGCUUGUGAUAGCUGUGAGGAAUAACAAAAAAAAUAUUAUAUCUAAUGAUAGCCUAGCUUGUGAGCUCAUCGCUUUAGUGGUUUUAGUGCUCCCUGUUGUUUGCUGCAUCGUGAUUGUGUCAUUUAGAUUUUUCAUUGAAUCGAAUGUGAGGGGAAUUACUAUAAGAGUGCCUGAUUUGCCCAAAAUUGAUGGAUGUCUUUAAACUUUUAGGCCGGCAGUGGAAAAGAGCUGUUUCCGCUCACCUAAAGUCACAAACACAGGUGAGAGCUGCAUGACAACGCAGCAUCACUCAUCGUAACUUGAGACUGACAGAUGAUGACUCUGUCUUGACUACAGGCAAACCAAACUAAAUUAAAUUAAAGGUGUAAAUACACCAAAAAUAGUACUUGCUUUUGGUGUAUAAAUGUAGUUUGCAGCCCAUUCUAAACAAUUAAUAUGCACAUCAUGUGGUUCAAAACUUUAAUACCAGUUUCCCAGACUGCAAUGCCAAAUUUUAAACCAUGCACCAUCAACAUGCAUGUGUCAGCACGCAGCCUUGUCUCAUUCCUAAUCUCUCCGCAGCAAGUUCCUAUUACAAAGUACAUGAGAUACGUCCACCUCGCUUUCUUAAAAACAAGUACUGCCACUAUUUUAAGUGGCCAUUUUAUUAUGCCAUGUCAGGUGAAAGCAAUCUUAAGACUGUCAUUUACAGGUGUGUAACAUGAUCCUUAAUGAGUGCAUUGUGUAUGAGCGUGCUCGGUUGCCCAGCCUAUCUAAAUCCAGCCAUGAAAAAAAAAAACAAUUGUUCUCCUGUUAAGUCAGUCAGUGAGUGAACCUUGCACGGUAACUGGUUCCCAUGGUCUGCAAAGUGAAGAACAAGCUAAUCUUAUCUUGAUGUCACACAGCUAUUUAGCCCGUCUUGUGUUUUGUUGACAGAAAGACAAAAUCACGUGCCUGCCUGUUAUGACUGACCUUGGGAGAGAUUGGAAACGAUUCGCUGGUGAGGCAGAGAAGUGUUCUGGAUGCUAAAGAAUUAGAAGAUCAUGUUUUGGAGAUGAUAUGCAGUGUGAAAAGUCAACAACAAGGUCUGACUCAGGUGCAUCUUGAUCCUUUUCAGCGUCUGUGGAUACUUUGGUCCUUAAGGCUGCUAGCAGUUGUUCUUCCAAGGCCUGUCAGCUCUCCACUGGUGCAGAUAUUUCAUCAUCCUAUAGUGUGGAUCUGCGCUGGCUCAUCUCCUUCAGGCGUCAUCUUCCUGCAUGCCCACAGCCUGGGUUUCCAGAAACUACAGUAUAGCUGCCAUUUCCUUCUCAAAAUCUUUUUGGGCCAUUAAGAAUAUUGCAUUAAUACAUUCAAUAUGACACAGUGUCUGAAAUAUCCAUCAACUUUUUUUGUGCAUCAUGCAAUUAGUUUGUUGAAUAUAAGUCUUCUGGUAAUAGUGAGUCUUUUAUUUUAAAAGCCCAAUCUCUUAAUUUCCUGUCUCGUAGGCUACAUGUCUGUGUGACUUGAUGCAGCUGAGGAGGCAGAAAGAGCAACAGAGAGAAUGAGAGAGAAAGAGAAGGGGAGGGGGUCAGUAGAUUGAUGGGAGGUGGAGGAUGUUACACAUCACUAACCAACAUAAUAACAAAACACUCCAGUCUCCGAUCAGCAUGGCAUGCCAACUAACAGCUCCCUGAUCUGCUCUCUUAUAUUCAAUAUGCUUUAUUAUUUAAAUGAAUGGGUGUAAGCCAUUGAUGCAAAAGAAACCAUCUGACACAAUGUAAAAAAUCAUGGUGACAAUAAAAAACACAACAUACAUAAACCAAACACCAGUUAACCUAAUAAUAAAUAAUCAACAACAGUAAUAAGUAAUAAAUGAAAUAUAUAACAUACACAUACAUGCAAUCCUCCUAUUGCAGUUUUCCUGUAAUCUUUUAUUGCUGCAAAAUGUAUUUUAAGAUCAUUAACUUGCAGGAGUGAAAAAGUGUUGUUAUGACUCCUGCACUCUUCCUUUGACAUGACAGUAAAGUCCUUGACACAUGCACAUUUUACAUUGAAGCAGCUAAUGAUCCCAACUUCUCCUCAUGAAUACCAAAGUUACUGCUUUGCAAACUGAAUUCACACCAUUAUGUGUCCUAUACAUAUCAAUUACCUCAGGUCAGCGAAUACACAUUCAUUUGAAUUGGUGCAGUACGCAGCUGUGUGGCCGUUUCCCACAGCAGGACACACAGAGUUUGGAGCCAACUGCCAACUUAAUACUUCAUCCGAGGCUAUGCCUGAAUGUUAAAGACAUUCAAAGUAAUGACGCAACAUUGUGGGGCAAAAUCCACAAAGAAAAAGUACUUAGAAUAGAAAGGAAUACAAUAACACUGUGAUGUGCACAUAGUUAAUAGUAAUGUUAGUGCUUUUUAUGACAAUUACUAAGGUAUUGUGAAAAUAUGGUAAAGGGCUGUGUAUACUCAAUAGUGAUCUAAGUUUACAAUCAUUUUUAGGUAAAUCUACAUCUGUUUUGACUGUGAGAAUUUUUAAUAGUAUAAUAUCUGACCCUUAGAAGGCCAAGGUCCUUUUGGGGGCUCAAAGAAGAAUUUGUUGUGUUUGGCUGUGCAUGUUUGUGUAUAUUAAAUGUCUGUGUGUGCUUCAGUGUGUA